rnacentral:tRNA from 1 species
GAAAUAUUUAUUAUUAAGUUACUAACUUAAUUUUUAUUUAAAACAUUAAUUUAUAUUUCU